UUAUAUAUGCGUGUGUAAUUGCGGAGUUCUAAGUUUUACGGAAAAUCCAACCGAAAAUUUCUUAAAUAAGAAACCUUCGGUUGGGUUUUCCGUAAAGCUUAGAACUCCGUAAUUACACACGCAUAUAUAA
rfam:Brassica oleracea var. oleracea cultivar TO1000 chromosome C7, whole genome shotgun sequence